UCUUGGUAUUGCAGGGUCCAAGGCUAUAGAAAAUUUGAUGGCCCUUUGGGCAUGACUUCAAAUUGCUCUCCAGAAUGGUUGUACCAGUUUGUAGCUCCAUUUUUCUUCACCAUAAACUAUCCUCCAUUAAGUUUGUCUUCCUGGAUUACAUAGGGUAAAAUCUUUGAAUUACCCCUUCUACCACUUUUUUGAGUAUCUCAAUGAAUCACCAGACAUUGAUUAAAUGUCCAGUCUGUGCCAACCACUGUGCUAGAUAAAAUAAAUAUAACUGCCUUAAGUGAAACAAUCCCUCCUCACAAUGAACUUCCACAUUUUCCUCACUAAAGUCCUAUGAUGCCUUGCCAUGUCACAAAGGUGAUCCUGUCUAUCAAAAUUAACUCCAGCAGAGAACAAUUACCCAAAAUACCUAAGUAUAGUCUGGCUGAUGUACUGGGAACAAAAGAAUAGUGAAAUUAAAUAUGAUGAAGCCAUUACACUGAAGUUGACUUCCAGUUAUGAUCCAAUAGGAGAAGAGCCAAGGAAGCCUCUGUCUUCGGAGCACUGGAUCUAUUCUUGUCCUGGUCCCAACUCAUGUGGAGUCUUGGUCAUUCUACUUUCAGGGAUCCUUUCAUCAAUGGAGAAUGGGCAUCCAAUACCAGGUAGCAAGCCUGUGAGCUUCAGAAGGUGAGGAAAGCCACCAAAAUUCCAGCACCUGGAGUCCAUAGCAAAGCUUACUACAGAAGCUAUCAUCAAUGAGGAAUCAGUCAUGCAGAAGGAUCUGCUGGAAAUAAACCAGGGGCAGAUCAAUGCA
rnacentral:lncRNA from 1 species